UACGGAGGGUGCAAGCGUUGUCCGGAUUUAUUGGGUUUAAAGGGUGCGUAGGCGGCCCGGUAAGUCAGUGGUGAAAGCCUCCAGCUCAACUGGAGAACUGCCAUUGAUACUGCCGGGCUUGAGUACAGACGAGGUUGGCGGAAUUGAUUGUGUAGCGGUGAAAUGCAUAGAUACAAUCAAGAACUCCGAUUGCGUAGGCAGCUAACUAGGCUGUAACUGACGCUAAGGCGCGAAAGCGUGGGGAGCAAACAGG
rnacentral:rRNA from 1 species